rnacentral:rRNA from 1 species
GACGAACGCUGGCGGCGUGCCUAAUACAUGCAAGUCGAACGCACUCUCGUUUAGAUUGAAGGAGCUUGCUCCUGAUUGAUAAACAUUUGAGUGAGUGGCGGACGGGUGAGUAACACGUGGGUAACCUGCCCUAAAGUGGGGGAUAACAUUUGGAAACAGAUGCUAAUACCGCAUAAAACCUAACACCGCAUGGUGUAGGGUUGAAAGAUGGUUUCGGCUAUCACUUUAGGAUGGACCCGCGGUGCAUUAGUUAGUUGGUGAGGUAAAGGCUCACCAAGACCGUGAUGCAUAGCCGACCUGAGAGGGUAAUCGGCCACACUGGGACUGAGACACGGCCCAGACUCCUACGGGAGGUAGCAGUAGGGAAUCUUCCACAAUGGACGAAAGUCUGAUGGAGCAACGCCGCGUGAGUGAAGAAGGUUUUCGGAUCGUAAAACUCUGUUGUUGGAGAAGAAUGUAUCUGAUAGUAACUGAUCAGGUAGUGACGGUAUCCAACCAGAAAGCCACGGCU